rnacentral:rRNA from 1 species
GAGGAAAAGAAACUAACAAGGAUUCCCCUAGUAACGGCGAGUGAAGCGGGAAGAGCUCAAAUUUGUAAUCUGGCACUUUCAGUGUCCGAGUUGUAAUCUCGAGAAGUAUUUUCCGCGCCGGACCGCAUACAAGUCUGUUGGAAUACAGCGUCAUAGUGGUGAGAACCCCGUAACUGAUGCGGAUGCCCGGUGCUUUGUGAUAUACUUUCGAAGAGUCGAGUUGUUUGGGAAUGCAGCUCAAAUUGGGUGGUAAAUUCCAUCUAAAGCUAAAUAUUGGAGCAAGACCGAUAGCGAACAAGUACCGUGAGGGAAAGAUGAAAAGCACUUUGGAAAGAGAGUUAACAGUACGUGAAAUUGUUGGAAGGGAAACGCUUGAAGUCAGACUUGCUAUUCGGAGUUCAGCCGCAAGGUGUAUUCUUCGAUUUGCAGGCCAGCAUCAGUUUUUGGGGGUGGAAAAUCGUGGUUUGAAGGUAGCAGUUUCGGCUGUGUUAUAGCUUUCCACUGGAUUCAUCUUCGGGGACUGAGGAACGCAGUACGCUUUUUGCAAGGCUUUCGAGCUUUUCGUACUUAGGAUGCUGGUGGAAUGGCUUUAAACGACCC